GCACUUCGUCCUGGCAACGAUACUCGGGCCCAUCGCACAGUUGGCUGUCGUCCUGCGGCAGCGGUGGUUGUGUGCGCUCGUCCCUUGGAUUCACCACCAGGACUCCACACUCAGCUCCAGUGCCUUGAAAAGUGUUUAGUGUGCAAAUAAUCAAACCAAGAAACCAAAAAACCCAAAAAAAAAACAAAAUAGAAGAAAAACUGCCAAGGAAAAAGUAACCAUUAGAGAAGUGGUUAAAGUGACAAAACCUGAAACUGUCGAGGACAUUAUUGUGUGAGUGAGAUAAGGACUUGCCGAGACAGUGGCCCGAUGACUACGACAAUGGCUACGCCCAAGGCCUAGGCAAGUUGAACGCCCACACAAGCGCAAUGAAACACACACACACACACACGCACACACGGAAACACACACUCGCAGGACGAACAGGAGGAGCAGGACACGCAGCCUGGCAAAUGGCUUGUUUUCGGUUCUUAAAUUGUUUUAUUUUUCCCCAGCCAUCCUCCUUUAUUAUUUAGCGCGGUUCGUCCUGUGCACUGUGUGGACAUUAUGUGGCCAGGACCUCCUGCCAUAUGUUUACUCAGUAUUUGUGUGGGUGGCUCGACGGGGCGCUCUUUAAAUUGAAAUAAAACAAGCCAACGAGAAACCAACGACAUCCCUUUAAGCUAAUGGAGAGCCUUAUCUGUGGCCGAUCCAUCGAGCUUUGCACUGCGACCCCACACAUUAUCAUUCACAACUCAUCCGAUUGUCAUUGUCUAUGUCUUCCUGGCAUCAGUGGGGCAGGAGCUGGAGUGGAAUCAGGACUGGAGGAGGAGCAGGACUAAAAGUGCUGGAAUAGAAGCUGCAUCUCCAUCCUCCAACCACCGACAUCGCCAUCUCAACGCGGCUUACGAUUUUGCGCUUGCAUUCAUUUUUAAAAGACCUAGGACCCAGGGGCAUGCUUAUGCAGGUAUGCAGGAUGGAGGAUGCAGGAUACAGGGAUACUCUCCAUUGUCUGCAGGACAGCGGCAACAACCUCCGAAUCGUGUUCCAUCUCGCCAUCUUCAUCUCGUCAUGCGCUAAUGGCACAAGAUUCCCAAAAAAGGACGAAAGCAUAUGUGGCUGCAUGAAGUGCUGCCUCUGCCUUUGAAUGACUGAAAGCUGGCGAGGAUUAGCCACAAGGACAGCGGUAAGUGGCCGUCGAGUCUGGCAAAUUAUGCAACUUAAUGCGCUCGUAUGCCAAUGUACAUAAUGCAUAAUUAAUUUGGCCCGACAUGCACAACCUGUUGAGCCGCAAAAGCACUCACCUUGGCGUCCUUCACUCCACCCUUACCGCCUCGAAUCCCGUUGCCAUUCCAACUGAGCCGCUGCCUCAUUGAAAAGUGGCAUAACGAGCUCUUGUGCCCCGGCUUAAAAGCGCUUACAAAUUGCUACAUGAAAAUGUCUGCCAAGCGAGGCGGUGGAAGGCGGAGGAGGCGGGGGAAAAGCGAGGAAAAUGGAAAACGUAAGGGCAGCGCAAAUGAAGCUGUGAAAGAGGGGCACCGGCGGGGGCUUUCAUCAACACUUCAGGGCUAUUGCAAAGGGCAAGUUGAAAACUGAAACUGCAACUGAAGCGCUUUUCCACACACACCCACACACACACACACACGUUGGAAAACACGGCGGAGAGUGAAAAAACCUCCGGCUUUUUAAUGAGUCAAGUGGCCAACACGUGAAACACUCACAGAAUGCACUGAGAACAUUCAUAUGUAAUGAAGGUAUGAAUAAUAUCUAUUAACUAGAGAUAGCCUGCUAUAAAUACUAAUAAUAUUUAAUAAUGCCACAAAUUUAGUGUAAUAAUAAUUAUUUUAAAAAAUUCCUGAGGCAAUAGCUUUAUACCUUUAGGCAAUGGUUUUAGUAUAACGAAUCGCUUCUCAAACUAUAUAACUAAUUAAAAUUUAUAGGUAGAUCAAACGCGAACAUUUGUUUCCAGUGCACACAUAUCCGUGUGUAAUGACGCACAUUUUGACUGACUUUUGUGCGAAUGUAGUCGAACGAAAUAAACCGUUUUGCCUUUGAGCCGAAUUGAGUUUCAUUUGAGUUGGCCCGCUGAUUCGUUCACUCGUUUUCGUUUUCGGGCGUCAUGCCAACGCCGUUUGAGUUUUUGCCUUGCUUUUAUAAUUGCAUGUCGACUCUUAAUGAGCUGGGCGCCAUGCAAUUUGUACUUUCGCUGAGCAAACAGCGAAAAGCGAACAGGAGGCUAAAAGCAAAGGAUUUCCCAUUUUCCUGCCACUUGAAGUUGGCGCUGCGGAUGGGGUUUGCCUGUUUCGGAGUUGCCGGGAAAAACUCUGCGAAAAAUAGAGCGCAGAAAGUUGGGCUCUUGUUCAAAUGGAUUUCGGUCGUAAGCGAAAUAAAACCGCAAAACUCAAAAUGAAAUGAGUAAAUUGCGGUUGAAGUUGCCAAAAGCUUCAGCACUCCUGCCUUUUUUGGAAUGUGUGGUUUUCGUUUUGCUUGGCCACAUCUGCGGCACUCUGCACAGAAAAUAUCCUUAAAGUUUUUCAAGCUUUAAAAAGGCGAAAAGAUAAAGCCAUUUGAAUAGCAAACAUUCUUUUUGCCCGAAAUUGCGUAAAUAUAUGUGGGAUAUCGAAAGCAAACAUAUUCCGCUUAUCAAGGCACUUUGCAAAAACGUUUUAUUUGAUUUACUAUCCGAUGCUUAGAUUUCGAAAUUAUAUGAAAAUGUACAUACAUAUAUCUUUAAAACUCUGCAUACUCGAAAAUUCUAUUUAUUUUCUAUGCUUGCUCAGUUUGCCUGGCAACGUCGUUUCUUCGGCGAAACCUGUGAAAAUGCCUUUCAUCGCAGCCGGCAACCAUAAAGAUUUAACCGAUAAUAGGAUACACAAAACGAAUGUGAAUUUUUCAGUUCUUAAUGCCAAAACGAAGUCAGAGGCUAAACAUAAGAGUCGAAGACCAUAAACAAUCCUGACAGGACGUGAGGAGGAGCAGGGGAAGGACCUGAGACCUGGGCAAAUAGCAAGCGAGGGGUGAAUAGCUUUAAAGCUGAUGCAUAAAAUAUUGCGUAUACGCCCCAUUAUGCCAUACGACGAACGCACAACGACACAUGGGGCAGACGAACAUGAACGGCAGACUUCUAAACCAUAUAUCGUAUGUAUAAUUGAAAACAAAUUUUACUGCAUGUAAUUGAGUGUGUUUGUUUGCGGACUAGUGCCUAUACAUACACAUAUGCAGCUCGAAGUGUUUGUGUGUGUGGGCGGGUGGGUGUGUCUUGAUAUCGAUAACGAAUGCCACAAAUUGAAUUUAAAUCAUAUUACAUACAAACAAGCAGCACAGACACAAAACAGGCCGGGUUUUCGACUGGGGAUAGGGAUUGGGCUCUUGGCCGCGCCAUCGCCAUCCUCGCUUGUUUUAUUUAUGGCUGCAACAGCAACGAUAACAAGUGCAACUGCAACAGCUACACGGAGAAAAAAUCUAGGAACUAAAAUGAAGAUAUAACAUUUUGGUUUGAGU